rnacentral:rRNA from 1 species
CCUACGGGGGGCAGCAGUGGGGAAUAUUGCACAGUGGGGGAAACCCUGAUGCAGCGACGCCGCGUGAGCGAAGAAGUAUUUCGGUAUGUAAAGCUCUAUCAGCAGGGAAGAAAAUGACGGUACCUGAGUAAGAAGCUCCGGCUAAAUACGUGCCAGCAGCCGCGGUAAUACGUAUGGAGCAAGCGUUAUCCGGAUUCACUGGGCGUAAAGGGAGCGCAGGCGGCACGGCAAGUCUGGUGUGAAAGCCCGGGGCCCAACCCCGGGACUGCAUUGGAAACUGCCGGGCUGGAGUGCCGGAGGGGUAG